rnacentral:rRNA from 1 species
AACGAACGCUUGCGGCGUGCUUAACACAUGCAAGUCGAACGAGAAAGGGGCUUCGGCCCUGAGUAAAGUGGCGCACGGGUGAGUAACGCGUAGGUAAUCUACCCCUGUGUUCGGGACAACAUCGGGAAACUGGUGCUAAUACCGGAUACGUUUCACGGAUUGCGAAAUAAGUGAAGGAAAGAUGGCGAUCUCUUCGGAGAGCUAUUGCACGGGGAUGAGCCUGCGUACCAUUAGCUAGUUGGCAGGGUAAGGGCCUACCAAGGCGACGAUGGUUAGCGGGGCUGAGAGGCUGAUCCGCCACACUGGCACUGGAACACGGGCCUGACUCCUACGGGAGGCAGCAGUGAGGAAUUUUGCACAAUGGGGGAAACCCUGAUGCAGCGACGCCGCGUGAGUGACGAAGGUCUUCGGAUCGUAAAGCUCUGUCAGCAGGGAAGAAAUGUGCGAUGGCUAAUAUCCAUUGUACUUGACGGUACCUGCAAAGGAAGCACCGGCUAACUCCGUGCCAGCCGCCGCAGUAACAC